rnacentral:rRNA from 1 species
GACGAACGCUGGCGGCGUGCUUAACACAUGCAAGUCGAACGGAAAGGCACUGCGAUUGUGCUGUUCUCGAUUGCCGAUCGGGUAAGUAACACGUGUGUAACCUGCUCUUGACUUUGGGAUAACUUCACGUAACUGGGGCUAAUACCGGAUAGCAGCUCCCGCUGCAUGGUGGGGGUUGGAAAGUCUCGGCGGUUGGGGUUGGAUUCGCGGCUUAUCAACUAGUUGGUGGGGUAGUGGCUUACCAAGGCUUUGACGGGUAGCCGGCCUGGGAGGGGGACCGGGCACCAGAGGACUGCGAGACGGCGCAGUCUCCUACGGGGGGCAGUAGUGGGAAAUAUUACACAAUGAGCGGAAGCCUGUUGCAGCGGCGCCGGGUGCGGGAUGACGUCCUUCGGGGUGUGAACCGCUUUCGCCUGUUACGAAGCGUGAGUGACGGUAAUGGGUGAAUAAGCACCGGCUAACUACGUG